UAACAAAAAAUAGCAAUGAGCUACGCUUAGUUAGCUUACUCGCCAGUCGGGCGCCACCAUAGAAUGCAUUUACUCUAGCGAGGCCGCCACACCAAGUACCAACACUCCAACACACGCAGUCAGUGAUUCCAACCGAACCAAACUAAAUUUAAGAAAUCAGAUUGGUCAAAGACAUGAUGUGACGCAUGAGCAGACAGCAGAGCUUUAAAAAAUAUAUCGAUUUUGAUACCUAAAAAUAAAUAUCGAUAGUUGAUAUAUCGUGGGAAAAAAUAUCGCUGAUUUAUAUCGAUAUUUUUCUGAAAAAAUAUCGAUAUUUUGAUAUAUCGAUAUUUUUUGCCUAAGCCUAAGUCCAACUCAGUUAAGUUUAAGUUGACAUUCGCGCGCGUAACACCAUUCAAAAGUUAUGGUUGAAAUUAGUCAGGAAGCGGGAACACCUUACAAUAACUACCAAAUUUAAAUUUCAAUCGACAUGGGGUGGACAUUAAACCAACUUACCUCGGCGAAAACCUCAUACAAACUUGUAGACUUUCCAUUUAAAAUUGGCCGAAAUUUAAGUGCAGACAUUAUUUGUCCAGUUACUAAUAUCUCAAAGAAUCAUGCUCACAUCACCACUUCAAAUGGGCAACUCUAUAUCACAGAUACUAGUACUAAUGGUGUUUUUAUUAAUCAUGUUCGUAUUCCAUUUAAUAUGCCCACUCAUAUUAAAGCCAAUGAUAUAAUAUCACUAUGUUAUCCCAAAGACAAUAAUGAAACAGGAAAAGAACAUUUUCUUUAUGAACUUAUAUCAGACCAGAACGAUAUCCAGACAGAAUUGAACAUUAAAGUUGAAGCAAGGCAUUCAGAGACAAAUGAAAACAUGGGAGUUAUUAAAAGUGAAGUAAGACCUGAAAAUAAUCAAAAUGUUGAGAGUUUUGAUGUAGAAGCAAAUAAUUCAGUUAAUAAUGAAAUAAAUGAAACUAUUAAAAUGGAAGUAAAUAGAUCAAAUAUUGAUAAAAGCUGUGAGAUAAUAGAAAUUGAUGCAUCAUCAUCAUCAGAACAGAAUUACAAUCAGUGUGAUAAUAAACAAAGUAUUGGAGAUGCAAUAACAAUUAAAACAGAUAGUGAUGUACAGAUUAUAACACAGGAUAUUGCUGAUGAUAUCAUUGUGAUAG